rnacentral:rRNA from 1 species
ACGGAAGGCAGCAGUGAGGAAUAUUGGUCAAUGGGCGGAAGCCUGAACCAGCCAAGUCGCGUGAAGGAUGAAGGUAUUAUGUAUUGUAAACUUCUUUAGACGCAGAGAAAUAGGGAGGUCGAGACCUCUGAUGCUAGUAUGCGUAGAAUAAGGAUCGGCUAACUCCGUGCCAGCAGCCGCGGUAAUACGGAGGAUCCGAGCGUUAUCCGGAUUUAUUGGGUUUAAAGGGUGCGUAGGCGGGAUGUUAAGUCAGCGGUGAAAGCGUGUAACUCAACUAUACCAAGCCGUUGAAACUGGCGUUCUUGAGUGUAAACGAGGUAGGCGGAAUGUGACGUGUAGCGGUGAAAUGCUUGGAUAUGUCACAGAACCCCGAUUGCGAAGGCAGCUUACCAGCAUACAACUGACGCUGAGGCACGAAAGUGCGGGGAUCAAACAGGAUUAGAUACCCUGGUA